CAAUCACUGCACCACUCUGAACUAACGAAACGAACCAAAUCCCUCCCAAGCAUGCUACAGUUACUGCAUCCUUCGAAACCUUCUUCAAUAGAGCACAUCCCCCCCUUACUCCCAUACAAAUAUCCAAGGUAUGCAAAUGGCAUAUAACUCGAUCACAAUCAACCAAUCAAAAUAAAACACUCAUACCGAUAAUGAUGCAGAACCAUAACAAUGAAAUCAUGCACAAAAUAAAAGAACUGAGAAUGGAAAUUGCAUACCUGCAACGUCCGGCGAUGCUCGCGUCUCCAAAGUCGUCAUCUGGAAAGCCCUGCUCCCUGCUGCAGGUGCCUCUACCCGGCCCUGACGGCCAUCUGCGAUCCUCAAGGUUGCAGGGGCGGGUGCCAUCACCCGUCCUGCUGAAGACAAACUGGGGCACUGGGCCUUCUUGUGGCCCCGCUGGUUGCAAUGAAAACAUAUCAUGUCUGAUCCCUGCGCGGCGGUAACAGUACAAUCCCUGCUAAAAUGACCAGUCCGACCGCACUUGAAGCAGCCAGACUCACCACCGCUACCACUCCUGCACGCGCCCCCGUGCACCUUGCCACACUUCCCAUAUCGGCUACGGUCUUGAUAAUCCCUCGAUCUCGAAUCCGAUCCCUUGGGCCUUUUGCCCGAACCCGCUGAUACCUGAACCUCAUCCGGCUUCCUCUUCCGGAUCUGCUCCAAAUCAAUUUCCCUUUCCCUAGCCCGAGAAAUCAUAUCUUCCAGCGUCUUACAGCUGGACCUGCUCACGAACUCCCUGAUGUCGUCCCUCAACAUCUCAUGGUACCGAGCCUUCUUCAUCUCCUCAUCCGCUACAUACUGCGGUACAAGAAGAGCCCUCUCCCUGAACUUGGCGGUGAUCUCCGCCACAGUCUCAGUAGUCUGCGUCAAAUCCUGAAACUCUCGUGCCAGCUGCUGCACCUCAAUAAUCGGCGAAAACUCCGCCCUGAACCUGGCCGAGAAAUCGCUCCAAGUCAUCGCGUCCAACGCGGCAUCAUCCCCCAAAGCAUGACCAAUCUCCUCCCACCAAUCCCUCGCUCUGUCCUUCAGAAGACAGGAGGCGAGUCUAACCUUGUCCCCCUCGGGACACUUGCUCGUACGAAAAGCGUUGGCAACAUCAGCCAACCAUCUGCUGCUAGCAAUGGGGUCCCUAGCCCCAUGAUAGUCUGGUGCCCCGCAGGCUCUGAACUCUCGAAAUGUCAAGGUACGCGCUCCCAUCAAUGCCAUCAUCUCAGUACGGAAGGCUCCCAGCCUCUCCUCCAAGAUCUCCAGUAUGCCCUCCUUGACCGUGCCAAAGAUCACAGGAGUCUGAGCUAGAAUACUGCGCGUAACCUCAGCUGAUAUCAACUCCCUCAUCCGCUCCUCGAGCUGCUCGGUCCCUGAACCCGAGGCUGAUCCCUCUCCGGCGCCUGAUCCGCCCGCUGGUCUCUCUCGCAAUGUCACCAUGCUGAAAAUAUACCACAACCACAAUCAGAAUACCCAUCAUUGAUACAAGAUCAAACAUGCCCUACCAGGUUCCCGGUCUUGCCUCUGCCCUUCCUGAAUCGAGUACGGAUCCUCUGCUUUCAGUAGUACGGGCCCAUACUACCUUCCACAUCUAUCCGUACUUUCCUCAGGAAUUGCUUUGACUCCACCAGGUCCCUUAACCACUCAUACUGCUCCCAACUCUAUCUCAUCCUAGGCUUACCCUAGGGAAACCUCUAACUCAACUCAAACCAGUCCUCAGCUGCUGAAGGUCUCCUUGUGAUGCCAAUUAGCCAUCACCUGGAUACCAUCACAUGCGACGAGGCUCAGAUAAUCCUUCAAGUAAAGGACUCGUCCCUACAACGGUUAGACUCAAACGAGAGCUGCGCAAUAGGGCCAAUUCCAGUACUCUGAGAUUAUUCAACCCUGAUCACAUGUGACGUAACGUAUCCAUCUAAUGGCUAACUCCCAUCACUCAAAAUCCCACAAUGCACAAAGCAAGCAGCAUUCGAACAAGGGGAAAAUCUAACCACAACAUACUCAAGCAAUCAUAUCCACGUAGCAAGAAUCUGAACUAGCAUGCAACACAAACUCAUAAACUCAGGCAUAACCUAAACAGGCUAUCCUACUACUGUCUAAUCAGCACUAUCAUGCAGCUCAAAAGCACAAAUAACAGGCACAUAAGGCAUCAUCCCUAGAUCCUUAGUCCUAUUCUAGCAUGCUGUUCUAUCAACUGAUAAUCAUAACAUAAACUUGUAUGGGUAUUUUGGGGUACUUACUUGAGCUCGGUUGAUUGCAUGCACCACACCUCUUUUCUCUUUUCAAAGUUCUUUUCUUUCUGAAUUCUUUUUGCUUUUCUAAAACUGUUUUUCAUUCUCAAAAUUCUUUUUACAAAACUGUCUUUUCACAUUUUGAAAACUUUUCAUCCGACCCCUCAGUUUGAGUUCAGGCACACCCGAGAGUAUGCCCGAAUCCCUCAAACCAAGGCUCUGAUACCAACUUGUAACAUCCCAAAAUUUAAGACCAAAAAUUUCUUUUUAAUAAAACAUUACUUUAACCAAAGACAUCAUUCCAAAACAUAAUCUGAGUAUAGGUUUUCAAAACACAUGUUUAUUAUCAGAGUAAACAUUCCCAGGUUGACUAAUCUAUGGUGUGUGCCAUGCGAUCACCCCGAGCUCCUCCCUCCGCUACCGGAAGUACCUGAAAACAAAACUGAAAACCGUAAGCACGAAGCUUAGUGAGUUCCCCACCUUACCACAUACCAUGCAUAACCACAUACUGCACAUACUGGGCCACGCCCGCUAUCCGGGGCCUCGCCCCCUACUUCGGGCCUCGCCCGCUACAACGGCCUCGCCGCUCCAGGCCCCGCCUGGCUUCGAGCCCCGCUCGGAUACAGAUCUGUUUCACUUAGGCCUCGCCUGUCACAGGGCCUCGCCCUCUAACAUAUAAUAGCACAUAAACAUAUCACAUAACAUUACAUAAACUAAACAUAUACUAACAACUCUUGCUCUAAGGCCUCGCCUAUCUCUGGGCCCCGCCCGAGUUCUGCUACUGAUGAGUCAUGGAACCUCGUCCAUACUCCUGCUGAUAGUGAGGUUCGGGCCCAGCCCACCCUCACUCCUUUCCUAACUUGGGCCUCGCCCCUGCUCUGCUGCUACUGAGAUGUGGAACACCAUCCACACUCUGCUAUUGGUGAGAUACGGGACCUCGCCCUCUCUCACCUCCCUACCAGGCACAUACAAGUAUCACACAGACAACAAGUAUAAACUAUCACAUAAACCGCUCCUUGGGCACCCGCCCUCUGUCAUUGGACCUCGUCCAAAUAUCAUACUAGCAUACUGUGCCUAGGGCUAACCCCCGGGUCUUCUACUCAUAACUACAUGGGCCGGCAUUGUGGCCGUAGACCCAUUCAUACAAAGGGAAACUCACCUGAUACUGCUGAACUGCUGCUGCUAACCCCUUUGACCGCUACCUGACCGCUAACUCCGAACUGCUGCUCCGCUAGCUCCCCGAGCUACCAAUAUCAACAUAACACUUAGUCUAACUGACCUUCAAAGGUCAACCAAGUCAACUCUGGUCAAAGUCAACGUCCUGGUCAAAGUCAACCUUCCAGGUCAACCCUACUCGUCGAGUCACCCUACUGACUCGCCGAGUUCAUAAUUCCAGAGUCCUUCCACUCGCGACUCUACUCGCCGAGUCAGCCCCUGACUCGCCGAGUUUACUGAUUCCCGAUUCCUGUCCUGACCAACUCACUGAGUCCUGGCUCGACUCGCUGACUCGAGUCUUAACUCGAAGGGUUUGGGACCACUCGACCUGACUCGCCGAGUCUAAGAACAGACUCGCCGAGCACACGACAAACUUCAUCCAACUCGACGAGUUGUUCAUCCAACUCGCCGAGUUCAUGCCCAUCUUCAUCCGACUCGACGAGCUGUUCAUCCCACUCGUCGAGUUCCUCCUCAUCUUCAAGCUACUCGCCGAGUCCACUCGAAGGACUCGUCGAGUCCACUAAGAUCCACUUACAUGCAGAGGACUUCCGAGUCAUGCAUGAGCUCCAAACUAUAGAUCUACCCUCCCCAAGCCUAUUUCCCACGUAAAGUUGCAAACUUUACGUGUAGAGAGUGAGAUCUAGGCAAAAUACACCCAUAGCUAGGGUUUAGGACCAAGAGACUCCAAUUUCCACCCAAUGGCUGAUACUUUAUGGGAUUACAUACCAAAAUAAACAUGGAUCUGAGGUAGCAACCUCAGAUCUGGACCUCAAGCUCAAGAUUGGUCUUAAACAUGGCUUAAAAGCCCCAAAACUCAUAACCAAGGAAAAAUAUGGAGGAGAGAAACGAAUUGAUACCUUCCAAUGCUCUGAAAUGCUUCCCAAACUUCAGAUCCAAAGCCACUCCCUGAUGCUUCAAGGAUUCCCACUCCUUCUUCUUCCUUAAACCCACUCAAAAAUGGCUAGAAGCUUGAAUGAACACAAUGGGGGCUUAAGGUGCGGCGUUCUGGGUGCAAGAGGCUGUAAAGGAGCCCUAGGAAGAAGAUUAAGAUGCUUAAAUAGGCUCCAAGCCCCGGAUUUAGGGUUUUCCUCGCACAGACCAGACUCGCCGAGUCCACUUGGCCGACUCGUCGAGUUGGUCACUUUCUUAUCGACCCGGAUCCCGCUCCGACUCGCCGAGUCCUUCCUUUGACUCGUCGAGUCCCUCUUAAAUUUAGGGUUUCCUUUACUUUCUUGGCUUUCAAAAUCCUGGGUGUUACAACUCUCCCCCACUUAAACUGAACUUCGUCCUCGAAGUUUACCAUGGCCCACCGCCUGCGAUCUGCCUCCAAUACCCAACACCAGCCGCCUACCUGCGCUGGUCUUCCACCAAUACUGCACUGAACCCUCAGAGGUUCUCCACUUCUUUCCUUGCACAAUUCCCUUGCCUUCCCAAGGCAAAGCCUCAUAACCGACUUUUCCUUUGACACUGUGAAGGUCCUAUCCUUCACUAACUCCAUCACCUCCCUGCUAUUCCCAGAACGGGUCAUCACCGUCAGCACUCACUGACACUCCUUCCUGCCAACACUUGGUGUCGAGCACCCCUCGACUCAACUAACUGAACUCCACCAUACGCUGCAUACUCGCACUGCCACCGACUGGCAAUUCAACUAUUCCCCGACUGACUUCCUGAUAAACCGGGACCGCCCUGGUCCCUACCAACCUAUCAAUGACUGGAUUACCAGCUCCCACCGGUAGCUAGUCCCAACACCAUCACUGGUCGCUCUCAGCGACUUCCAAAGAAACCUCGACCACCUAUAACUGCUCAAUCAAUCCUGCCAUCCAGGCACGACAAACCUGGGAUCCCCGAUCCCCUCAUCUUGACACUAAGGUCCCUACCAGGUCCCACCUGCACUGCUAAAACUCACGAGCCUCGCCCACGGGUCCCACCCGCCUCUAUCCUUCUAGUCUCACUAGUCUAGUCACUCUCGCUCGGGCCUAGCCCACGGGUCUCACCCAACCAUACUACUGAGCAACCCUGCUCCCAGGUCUCAUCUACACUGCUAAUCUCAUACGGGCCUCGCCCACGGGUCUCACCCAACUAUAUCCUGGAGCGGCCUCUCCCAAGGUCUCACCUCUCUAGAGCUAUACAGGCAACUCCCUACUACUCUCAUCCACUACCCAUUCCUGAUCCCUACCUGAUCACUAGGAGAUAAGGGCCUCGCCCCGACUCCGCUAACGAAACUACGAAGGAAUGCUACGGCUUACCCGCAGUCUUACAUCACCGACCAUUGCCGACUGCUAGUGAAUGCUACGGCUGCCCCGUAGUCUUACAACACUCCCUACCACUGACUGCUAAUACGAAGGCACCCACGUGCCAUCGGCUUCUCAAGAUCCUUAUUUCCGACUCCCGCGAGUCCUUCAGGUGAUCCACAACCUGAAAUCUCAACCAUAACUAAUCAAUACCAUCACACGCGCUAGCUGAUGUGGAGUUUCUCAAACUCCCAACCCUGAAAUCCUCAAUCCAUCAAACGCUGAACUACUUCUCUUCCCUCUCGGAGGUCACGUACUCGUUCUGGGUCUGCGUGCUCCUCUCUGGGCACACCCGGAGGAUUCUCCCCCACUUCGAUCCUGCUUACCCCUUGCUGCUCAAUACUCAAAGAGAUCCCGAUCUUUGCUACCAUUCCAUAACCCAUCUACUGAGGAACCCAAGCCCGCCAUAGCUAGGGAUUUAGCCAAUCCAUCACAAUCACUGCACCACUCCGAACUAGCGAAACGUACCAAAUCCCUCCCAAGCAUGCUACAGUUACUGCAUCCUUCGAAACCUUCUUCAAUAGAGCACAUCCCCCUAACUACCAUACAAAUAUCCAAGGUAUGCAGAUGGCAUAUAACUCGAUCACAAUCAACCAAUCAAAAUAAAAUACUCAUACCGAUAAUGAUGCAGAACCAUAACAAUGAAAUCAUGCACAAAAUAAAAGAACUGAGAAUGGAAAUUGCAUACCUGCAACGUCCGGCGAUGCUCGCGCCUCCAAGGUCGUCAUCUGAAAAGCCCUGCUCCCUACCGCAGGUGCCUCUACCCG
rnacentral:lncRNA from 1 species